rnacentral:rRNA from 1 species
GACGAACCGUCCAAACGUUAUUCGGAAUUACUGGGCUUAAAGGGUGCGUAGGCGGCGCGGAAAGUUGGGUGUGAAAUCCCUCGGCUCAACCGAGGAACUGCGCCCAAUACUACCGUGCUUGAGGGAGAUAGAGGUGAGCGGAACUUAGGGUGGAGCGGUGAAAUGCGUUGAUAUCUAAGGAACACCGGUGGCGAAGGCGGCUCACUGGCCCGAUACUGACGCUGAGGCACGAAAGCGUGGGGAGCAAACAGG